rnacentral:lncRNA from 1 species
UUCUACACUCCAUUAUUCGAGAGAACUGAUUAGCUGCAAGGGUGUCAAAAAGGGUAAACCAACCCAAAUGGUUUGUGGCUUCUAUGGAUUAUGGUUGAAAACACAGGACCAAAAAGUGGAGUUUAUUACGGUUCAAAAAUGUUUUAUAUUUUAAAAUUUAGAACUAGAUUUUGACCCGCGCAGACGCGCAGGUGUAUAUUUUGAAAAAUAUGUUGAUAUUUGUUUUUCAUGUAAUUAUUAGGAUUUGGAAAAAUGAAUCCGAGGAACCUAACCGAUACCGAUCCAAAAAUAUAGUAUCAAACCCGAAUAUAAAUUGAUUAAAUAUUCUAAUUAUUCAAAAUUUUGUUAUUUAGAGAACCGAAUCUGAUCCGAACCGAAGUAUUUGGGUAUCCGAAUUUAUCUAAAAAUAGAUUUAUAUACUUAUAUAUAUUAAUUAUUUUUAGAUUUAAUGUAUAUAAAACAUCAAAAAUGAUACUUUUAAAUUGGUUUAAAUACUUGAAAAUAUAUAUAGAUAGUCAAAAGUAAAUAUCUGAAAUAGUUAAAGUAUACUCAAAUCACCAAAAAUACUUAAAAUAAUUAUUGAUUCCGUAUCCAAAAUUUUAAAUCAAGCCAAUUGAUAUGUUAAGCUUAAGUAUUAUGACAUAUGUUAUUCAAAUUUAUACGUAAUAUAUUAUUUUAUUUAUACAUUUUGAGAAAUUUAAAAUAUAUAAUAAUUUAAGACUUUAAAAUAAUUUAAAUUAGUUAUCCAAACCCAAACCAAACCCGCAAAGAUCCAAAUCGAACUCAAACCAAAAUUUAGAAACAUUCUAAUAAGGCUGAAAUCUUUGACCCUGAAAACCCGAAAUACAAACCGAUCAGAACCAAACCCGUAUGGGUACCCAAAAGCCCAGCUCUAGUCAUUAUUAUAUAUCGUAUUUUAUUUUCAUAUAAUUAAUCAUAUUUUAUAUGUACCAUCAUAUAAGUAAUCAUAUAAUUAAUAGUAUUUUAUACAUACCAUCAUAUAAAUAAUUACAUAUAUUAUAUUUUUAAAACUUAAUAUGAAAUAUAAAAACCAUAAUUUGAGUUGGUAUUUCAAAUUGGGCUUUGUAUUAUAUUUUUCUUAUAUAUAUUGACAAUAUUUUUUUAUAAUGGUUAUUGAAAAAUAGUUUAGUAAAAAUCCAUUUUUGAAUAUAUGUAAAUUUUUGAAUCAAUUUUUGAUAUAAAUCAAAUUUGAAUUAUUAUUUUGAUUUGAAAUAUGUAUAUAAAGUUUAAAUUUUGUUUUAUGGUUAGUUUAGAAAAAAAAUUUUUAGGCAAUUAGAUUGACCCAUUUUGGUAUAUUUUAAAAGUGGCCUAGAUAACUUUCAAUUUUUUUAAAAAAUAUAAGCCCAUUACUUUUUUUCUUAAUACUAAUAUCCUUGUUUUCAAACAAAAAUAUUUUUUUUUAAAAGACUGCAAUCCAUGUCUCCAAACACUCUAAAUUUUUUAAUAGUCUUAUUCAAGUCUCCAAACACUCCAAUUUUGUACUUGAGUUUUAAUAAGAUAGAUAUUAACGUUCGUUUAAUAUAAAUAACAUUUUUUGGUUAGAAUAAUGAAAAAGCGUUGUUUUAAUGUCAUUUCCAACUUUUUUUACUCAACAGUCAACCGUUAAAAAAUCAUUUGAAAACUUUUGAUGACUUUUUAAGGUUGUUGAGCGAUAUGUCUAAUGUCUCCAUCAACUAGAUUAUGGCAUUAUGCAAUGCA